AUUGAACGCUGGCGGCAUGCCUUACACAUGCAAGUCGAACGGCAGCGGGGGAGAAGCUUGCUUUUCCUGCCGGCGAGUGGCAAACGGGUGAGUAAUACAUCGGAACGUGCCCUGUAGUGGGGGAUAACUAGUCGAAAGAUUAGCUAAUACCGCAUACGACCUGAGGGUGAAAGUGGGGGACCGCAAGGCCUCAUGCUAUAGGAGCGGCCGAUGUCUGAUUAGCUAGUUGGGGGGGUAAAGGCCUACCAAGGCGACGAUCAGUAGCUGGUCUGAGAGGACGAUCAGCCACACUGGGACUGAGACACGGCCCAGACUCCUACGGGAGGCAGCAGUGGGGAAUUUUGGACAAUGGGCGAAAGCCUGAUCCAGCAAUGCCGCGUGUGUGAAGAAGGCCUUCGGGUUGUAAAGCACUUUUGUCCGGAAAGAAAUGGCUCUGGUUAAUACCUGGGGUCGAUGACGGUACCGGAAGAAUAAGGACCGGCUAACUACGUGCCAGCCGCCGCAGUAACAC
rnacentral:rRNA from 1 species